CAAGUUUGAUCCUGGCUCAGAACGAACGCUGGCGGCGUGGAUUAGGCAUGCAAGUCGAACGAGAAUCUGAGAGUCCAAGUUUUCGGACAAGGACUUUUGGAGGAAAGUGGCGGAAGGGUGAGUACAACAUGGAUAAUCUACCUUCAAGUUGGGUAUAGCUUUCCGAAAGGAGAGAUAAUCCCGGAUGUGGUGAUCCGGCGCAUGCCGGAGACUCCAAAGGUGGGGACCGCAAGGCCUGCCGCUUGAAGAUGAGUCCGUGCACUAUCAGCUAGUUGGUGAGGUAAUGGCUCACCAAGGCUAUGACGGUUAGCUGGUCUGAGAGGAUGGUCAGCCACACUGGGACUGAGAUACUGCCCAGACUCCUACGGGAGGCUGCAGUCGAGAAUCAUUCGCAAUGGGCGAAAGCCUGACGGUGCGACGUCGCGUGGAGGAUGACGGUCUUCGGAUUGUAAACUCCUGUCAUGUGGGAUAAAUAGCCCGGGUGUGAAUAGCACUUGGGACUGAUAGUACCACAGGAGGAAGAGACGGCUAACUCUGUGCCAGCAGCCGCGGUAAUUCAGAGGUCUCGAGCGUUGUUCGGAUUUACUGGGCGUAAAGGGAGCGUAGGCGGCCGGGUGUGUCGAAUGUGAAAGCCCACAACUCAACUGUGGAAUGGCAUUCGAAACUACCUGGCUAGAGUACUGGAGAGGAGAGCGGAAUUCUUGGUGUAGCGGUGAAAUGCGUAGAUAUCAAGAGGAACACCGGUGGCGAAGGCGGCUCUCUGGACAGAUACUGACGCUGAGGCUCUAAAGUUAGGGGAGCAAACAGGAUUAGAUACCCUGGUAGUCCUAACUGUAAACGGUGUACACUUGGUGUGCGAGGAAUUGUCCCUUUGCGCGCCGUAGCUAACGCGUUAAGUGUACCGCCUGGGGAGUACGGUCGCAAGAUUAAAUCUCAAAGGAAUUGACGGGGACCCGCACAAGCGGUGGAGCAUGUGGCUUAAUUCGAUGCAACGCGAAGAACCUUACCU
rnacentral:rRNA from 1 species